rnacentral:lncRNA from 1 species
CUCCUAAAUCAACAACAUCAGCAAAAAUACUCAAAGGGGCUAAAAGUGUAAGGCUAGGAAUUGAAUUCAACCCCAACUGAAAUGGAAAACAGCUCCAAAUAUACACUGUUUUAGGUGGAAACCCCAAGAUUUUAGGACUUGGAUUUGACUUGGAGUAAUUAAAACAAUAUGCUAAAGUAUUAGCUAUGAAAAUCAUGUAACUGAUACAAAAACCAGCUUGUGAUAACACAAUCAUAGCAUCUACAGCAAACCUACCAACAGUUCCACAAACAGCAAAUCCCAAAUCACCAAAAGAUGAGAUUUCUGAAGUUUUAAGAUCGGAUUCAAUUUUUCUUCUUGAAAAUACAAGAAGCAUCAUACAAUAAUAAGUUAAAAAGGCUACUGAAAAUAGCAUAAUAGCACCCAUUAUCCAUCCUGUUCUUUUAAAAGUAUAAGGAAGGCCAAGAACUCCAGCUCCAACUAUAGCUAUAAAUACAUUGGCAAAAGUUUUGGAUGGUGAAGAAAGGUGUUGAUUUUUGGCUAAAAGGGGUGUAUCUUCUCUUGGGAUUUGUAAAACAUGAGAGGAUGAACUUGCUUUAUUAUUUUUGUCAAACCCCAUUUGGUAUAAUCUUUAAAUUCUUAAUCAAGAAUCACAACUUCUCUUGGGAUUUGUAAAACAUGGGAGGAUGAACUUGCUUUAUUAUUUUUCUCAAACCCCAUUUGGGAAAAUCUUAAUCAAGAAUCACAAUAUAAGGCAAAAAUCAGAUAAAGAUCAAAACUUUAUUUCAAGAUUACCUCAAAUUUGAGUGAAAAUAGUGAAUAUGUGUUUUUGUUUUGUUUUGGGAAAGGGGAAAAAGCUUUGAACUUUGCUUAUGGUUUUUGCCUUUAAAAUCAAGAAUCUCAGUACAAGUGCAACAAUCAGAUAAAGAUAAAAAAAUAAAUUCAAGAAUACCUCAAAUUUGACUGAAAAUAGUGAAUAUAUGUUUUUUUUUGGAAGAGGGAAAAAAGUUUUGAAUUUUGCUUAUGGAUUUUGCCUCUGGUAAAUUAAUCGAGAAUCUCGAUACAAGUGCAAAAACCAGAGAAAAAUCAAAACUUUUUUUAUCAAGAUUACCUCAAAUUUGGGUGAAAAUAGUGAAUAUGUGUUUUUUGAAAAGGGGAAAAAGUUUUGAAAUUUGUUUAUGGUUGUUGCCUCUGCUAAAUUAAUCAGGAACCUCAAUUCAAGGGCAAAAACCAGAGAAAAAUCAAAACUCCAAUAUCAAAAUUCAAUCAAUUAGUGAAUAGUAUGUGUUUUUUGGAAAGGGGAAAAAGCUUUGAAUUUUGAUUAUGGUUUUGCUUCUGCCAGGAUUCAGGAGUUUAGAAAGAGAUAUAACGGUGUCAAAUCUUAAAAUGGCUUUAGGUAAAACUUCCAAAAAGGACAAAACAUGAAAGUGACAAUUAAGCAAUAUUUAUAUUUGAAUAAUAUGAAGUUUACAGUUCGUACACGUCUCUUUUUUG